AGCUUGGUAGCUUAAUUGGUAAAGCAUUCGUCUAGCAUACAAGAGUCGUGGGUUCGAAUCCCACCUGAACAC
rfam:Aedes aegypti strain Liverpool supercont1.50 genomic scaffold, whole genome shotgun sequence.